CGUUCCAAGACGCUUCCUUUGCUCUUCCGCAGCCCCAAAGGUAUUCUCUUUAUCUAUCUAUCUAUCUCACUUCUACACUCUGCGCUGUAAGGACAGUAAAAUUGCUAUGUGUGUAGUGAAUCCAUGUGAACUCUGGGCAGUUCCACCGCAAGCCCUUUUCUCCACACACAUUGUUGGUGAAAAACCAGUUCUUGUUCGUGAUUUCAUUCAUUCUACACUAUAUGACCCUAGACAUGGUUAUUUCGCUCAAAGAUCGAGGCCAGUUGGAGUGCUUCAGAAAGCCACUAAGUUCAAUCAUUGAGGGUCUUUGAUUUGAGGUUGGACUGCAGCUAUCAACAAUGUCGAAUUCACGAAAUCAUGUAAGACCCAAGGCUCUGCAUCCCAGUACAAGCAUACCAGCAAUGAGGAGUCAUACCAAUAUAUUGUAGGUAGGGCUUGAAAGGAGUUCUGUUGGGCAUUGGUGGCUGG